rnacentral:rRNA from 1 species
GACGAACGCUGGCGGCGUGCUUAACACAUGCAAGUCGAACGGAAAGGCCAUGCUUUUGUGGGGUGCUCGAGUGGCGAACGGGUGAGUAACACGUGAGUAACCUGCCCUUGACUUUGGGAUAACUUCAGGAAACUGGGGCUAAUACCGGAUAGGAGCUCCUGCUGCAUGGUGGGGGUUGGAAAGUUUCGGCGGUUGGGGAUGGACUCGCGGCUUAUCAGCUUGUUGGUGGGGUAGUGGCUUACCAAGGCUUUGACGGGUAGCCGGCCUGAGAGGGUGACCGGCCACAUUGGGACUGAGAUACGGCCCAGACUCCUACGGGAGGCAGCAGUGGGGAAUAUUGCACAAUGGGCGGAAGCCUGAUGCAGCAACGCCGCGUGCGGGAUGACGGCCUUCGGGUUGUAAACCGCUUUCGCCUGUGACGAAGCGUGAGUGACGGUAAUGGGUAAAGAAGCACCGGCUAACUACGUG